UUUCCGUAGGUGAACCUGCGGAAGGAUCAUUAGUUAUAUAAGUCCACACGGCAAGCUUUCCGAAAGGCUCGAGCUUGCUGUGUGAACCCUACCUACCCUUGCUUUUUGCUUACCCAUUGUUGCCUCGGCAGGCUUGCCUGCCAGUAGGACCCUCUUAAACCCUUUGUAAUUGCAGUCAGCGUCAUAAACAACGUAAUCGUUACAACUUUCAACAACGGAUCUCUUGGUUCUG
rnacentral:misc_RNA from 1 species